CUGUCAGGGCUGGAGACUGGAAUCCUCUGUUCAUUCAUAGACUAGGUAAGGUACAAACAGGCAAAAUGCAAAUCUGUCUGUUAGGAAUCACAAAUUUGGCCUGCGGGAGAACACAGUUAAGUGAAGGUAGUUAAUUUUUGCUCCCUGCUGGUUCAUUCCUGGGCCUCU
ensembl:misc_RNA